CUCAAGUGGGCCGUCUCGGCCCUGGAAGGCUUCUUGCUGUUUUUCUAGGACCUUUGCUAGGUGUCCAAAGAGGAAGUCUCCCCACCUGGGGGCUCCCGCUCCCAGAAGGACCCCAGUAUGGCACAAGCAGAGACCCCAGAGCCAGAGGGAAUGUCAUCCGGGACCCCGAGGCCCCCCUCCCAGGCAUCCAAAGAGAAAAUCUCCCCACCUGGGGGCUCCCCCUCCCUGAAGGACCCCAGUAUGGCCCAAGCAGAGACCCCAG